rnacentral:rRNA from 1 species
UACGUAGGGGGCAAGCGUUGUCCGGAUUUAUUGGGCGUAAAAGGCUUGUAGGUGGCCACGCCAAGUCGGAUGUGAAAUCUCCCGGCUCAACUGGGAGGGGUCAUUCGAUACUGGCGGGCUCGAGGCCGGUAGGGGGAAGUGGAAUUCCCGGUGUAGUGGUGGAAUGCGUAGAUAUCGGGAGGAACACCAGUGGCGAAGGCGGGUCUCUGGGCAGUAACUGACGCUGAGGAGCGAAAGCGUGGGGAGCGAACAGG